rnacentral:rRNA from 1 species
UACAGAGGGUGCAAGCGUUGUUCGGAAUUAUUGGGCGUAAAGGGCGCGUAGGCGGUUCGGCAAGUCUCUAGUGAAAUCUCUGGGCUCAACUCAGAGUCUGCUGGGGAAACUGCCGGGCUGGAGUGUGGGAGAGGAGAGUGGAAUUCCCGGUGUAGCGGUGAAAUGCGUAGAUAUCGGAAGGAACACCUGUGGCGAAAGCGGCUCACUGGACCAUAACUGACGCUGAGGCGCGAAAGCUAGGGGAGCAAACAGG